rnacentral:misc_RNA from 1 species
CAUUGCAUGUGCCAUCUACCCAGCUCUGCAGGAAGUCAACGUACCCCAUGUGCCAGUUCGCCUCACCACCUCGAGCGGGAGGCACAACCACAAUGUGGUCGUCACACGCACCUUAACGACACAACCCUUGGGCCCCGUGCUAGCUGGGCUCCAAAAGUAUCACAAGCUCUCGCGAAUGCAGCAGGCUUCGAGGACUUCGGCCCUUGUCUAGACCUUGGUAGGUCAUUAAGCCACCCUCGUCGAGACAAUGGUCGAUCCACCGAUGGGCCCCCUCCGCUCCCUACGGGCGGUCGGGUGCCUUAACAGCAUCGGCAUCGCAAAGGACAUGCCUACCUGGUUG